AUUUAUAACUUUGCGAAUUGUACUCAAAGAAAUUAUCCUUAAACUUGAGAAAUGCACUAGAACAAUAAUGAGAAAAUUACUCCUAUAGACACUUUCUCACUUCUUAAUAUCAUCAAAUGACGCAAUCUGCUUCCAACAUACAUUUGAUGAGUUGAUUGUCCAUUGUACCUUCAAACAAGACUUUCUAUUUUGUUACCGUAUCGUUAUUUUCUCUCUCUUUAUUUACUCUUAGAUAUUUUCUUCAGAAAUAGUAAAUCCUAAUCUCACUGCUCUGUCUUUGAUGAAGAUCCGCAACUCGCCUAAAGACACAUUCUCUUUCGCCGAUUCAGAUCUGCCACCUUAACCCCACCGUCGUCGAUUCUUGUCACCACUGUCGGCGGACUGAGUUUUUACCGGGGUUUUCAUCGCCGACGUCGAUUGCUCUCCAGUUCCGUUUGAUAAAUCUUCAUGAGUCAAAAACUGAAAACACAUUAUCGAUCUCCGUCUCCGAUUUCAAAGGAAAAUUAUUGUACCAGUGAUGCUUCUCUGCAAUUCGUUUUCUUCCUUUUUGAAGAUAUUACUAUUCACAACAAUAAUUGACGGGCCAAAUACAUGAAAAAAAUCGAUUGGGCUAAGGCAAGAGCCAAAAGGAUUGGUAUUCCCCCAUGGUGCUCGUUUCCGAUCUGAAAGUCUGAUUUGGAUAAAAAAAAGUUUGUAGGUUUGAAAUUCCAACAACAAACUAGAAAAAAACUAUGGAAAGGAGUUUUGUUUCACUCAAUCAGAAGGUGGUGAAGUUGUCAAAAGAGAUGAGUUUGUGGUGAUUACAAUUUUAGAACUCUAUCCACAAGCGCCAUCACCGACAUUGUCGUCGUCUACUCCUGCCCCCCCAUAGUGUCUGCAACUCAGGUCGUCUUCCUCUAUUCACCGCUACGAAACAGACCCAAUCAAAGCUUCAAGCCACCGACAAGCACCAUUCAAGCCGUAUCCUCAGUCAUCGUUCUCUUCUCUCACCGCCGCAUUGUGGACUCUGAGCACAAAAAGUUUAUUACUGUAAUUUUGAAAUCUUUGGAAAGUUGUGUGCUUUGGAUAUUGUCCUGAUGAUCUUUGACGACAACGUGACAUAUGUAUGAAGUAGGCUGUUGAUGUUGUGUGGGUUCUAUCGAAUUUAGAUGGCUGGUUCAACUUUUUGACAUUGGCACACAUAGAUAAAUGCUUAAUAUUUCAUAAAUUCUAGAUCUUUUCUUCUCAUGUCUUGCUGAAACAUUUAAUCUUUUGAUCUUUCAAAAAGUACAGAUCGUGUCCAUA